CCUACGGGAGGCAGCAGUGGGGAAUAUUGCACAAUGGGGGAAACCCUGAUGCAGCGAAGCCGCGUGAGUGAAGAAGUAUUUCGGUAUGUAAAGCUCUAUCAGCAGGGAAGAAAAAAGACGGUACCUGACUAAGAAGCCCCGGCUAACUACGUGACAGCAGGCGCGGUAAUACGUAGGGGGCAAGCGUUAUCCGGAUUUACUGGGUGUAAAGGGGGCGUAGACGGCGCGGCAAGUCUGAAGUGAAAGGCAGGGGCUUAACCCCCGAACUGCCAUUGAAACUGGCAUGCUAGAGUGCUGGAGAGGUAAGUGGAAUGCGUGGUGUAGCGGUGAAAUGCGUAGAUAUUAGGAAGAACCCCAGUGGCGAAGGCAGCUUACUGGA
rnacentral:rRNA from 1 species